UACGUAGGGCGCAAGCGUUGUCCGGAAUUACUGGGCGUAAAGGGUUCGUAGGUGGCCAAUUAAGUCAGACGUGAAAUCCCUCAGCUCAACUGGGGAACUGCGUCUGAGACUGGAUGGCUUGAGUGCAGGAGAGGAACGCGGAAUUCCAGGUGUAGCGGUGAAAUGCGUAGAUAUCUGGAGGAACACCGGUGGCGAAGGCGGCGUUCUGGACUGCAACUGACACUGAGGAACGAAAGCCAGGGGAGCAAACGGG
rnacentral:rRNA from 1 species